rnacentral:tRNA from 1 species
GGAUGUGGCUCAGUGGUCAAUCGCAUGCCUGGCAUUUAUGAGGCCCUGGGUUCAAUCCCAGCACCA